GAUGAACGCUGGCGGCGUGCCUAAUACAUGCAAGUCGAGCGAACGGACGAGAAGCUUGCUUCUCUGAUGUUAGCGGCGGACGGGUGAGUAACACGUGGAUAACCUACCUAUAAGACUGGGAUAACUUCGGGAAACCGUAGCUAAUACCGGAUAAUAUUUUGAACCGCAUGGUUCAAAAGUGAAAGACGGUCUUGCUGUCACUUAUAGAUGGAUCCGCGCUGCAUUAGCUAGUUGGUAAGGUAACGGCUUACCAAGGCAACGAUGCAUAGCCGACCUGAGAGGGUGAUCGGCCACAACGGAACUGAGACACGGUCCAGACUCCUACGGGAGGCAGCAGUAGGGAAUCUUCCGCAAUGGGCGAAAGCCUGACGGAGCAACGCCGCGUGAGUGAUGAAGGUCUUCGGAUCGUAAAACUCUGUUAUUAGGGAAGAACAUAUGUGUAAGUAACUGUGCACAGCUUGACGGUACCUAAUCAGAAAGCCACGGCUAACUACGUG
rnacentral:rRNA from 1 species